CGCCUCCUGCAGUGUUCGAUAUCGACCUGGAUACCUUUCGACCCUAAAUCUUUACCUCGGGGUCGUGCACUGUCGGCAGCAUUUGAGCAGGGCUGAUUUUUCAGCAAGCCUAUUGCUGCCACGGCUGGCCCCACCUGUUGCUCCGGUUCGAGAGCGAUGGUUGGUAGCGGCACAGGCGGGAGGCGC
rnacentral:other from 1 species